rnacentral:rRNA from 1 species
CCUACGGGGGGCAGCAGUGGGGAAUAUUGCACAAUGGGGGAAACCCUGAUGCAGCGACGCCGCGUGAGCGAUGAAGGAUUUCGGGAUGUAAAGCUCUAGCAGCAGGGAAGAAAAUGACGGUACCUGACUAAGAAGCCCCGGCGAACGACGGGCCAGCAGCCGCGGUAAGACGUAGGGGGCAAGCGUUAGCCGGAUUGACGGGGGGUAAAGGGAGCGUAGACGGUCCUGCAAGCCAGAUGUGAAAGCCCGGGGCUCAACCCCGGGACUGCAUUUGGAACUGUAAGGCUAGAGUGUCGGAGGGGCAGGCGGAUUUCCUUGUGUAGCGGUGCAUUGCGUAGAUAUUAGGCG